GGGGGCGUAGUGUAGCGGUAAACAUUCCGGCCUGUCACGCCGGCGAUCGCGGGUUCGAAUCCCGUCGCUCCCG
rnacentral:tRNA from 1 species